UGGUGAAGGAUAUGCAGUCUCCUUGGGGA
rnacentral:piRNA from 2 species